GCCCCUAUGGCUCAGUGGUAAAGCGCAUCACUAGUACUAACUAGGUUAAUGAUGAGAUCACUGGUUCGAUUCCAGUUGGGGGCA